rnacentral:rRNA from 1 species
GAUGAACGCUGGCGGCGUGCCUAAUACAUGCAAGUCGAGCGAACGGACGAGAAUCUUGCUUCUUUCAUGUUAGCGGCGGGCGGGUGAGUAACACGUGGAUAACCUACCUAUAAGACUGGUAUAACCUCGGGAAACCGGAUCUAAUAGCAGAGGAUCUUCUGAACCGCAUUGUUCAAAAGUGAAAUACGGUCUUUGUGUCACGUAUAGAUGGAUCCGCGCUUCAUUGGCUAGUUGGUAAGGUAACGGCUUUUCAAGGCAACGAUGCAUAGCCGACCUGAGAGAGUGAUAGGCCACCUUGGAACUGGACCACGGUCCAGAGUCCUACGGGAGGCAGCAGUAGGGAAUCUUCCGCAACGGGCGAAAACCUGACGGAGCGACGCCGCGUGAGUGGUGAAGGUGUUCCGAUCGUAAAACUCUGUUAUUAGGGGAGAACAGAUGUGUAAGUAACUGUGCACAUAGUGACGGUAACUGAUCAGAAAGCAACGGCUAACUACGUG